rnacentral:rRNA from 1 species
UGCCAGCAGCCGCGGUAAUUCCAGCUCCAAUAGCGUAUAUUAAAGUUGUUGCGGUUAAAAAGCUCGUAGUUGGAUCUCGGCAAGUAGAGGGCGGUAUGCUUCGUAGCAUUACUGCCCUAUUACUUGUAGUUUUGCCAGAGGUUCCUGGGUGCUCUUAAUCGAGUGUCUAGGGAUGCUGGCAGGUUUACUUUGAAAAAAUUAGAGUGCUCAAAGCAGGCUAUUACGCUUGAAUAUUCGUGCAUGGAAUAAUAGAAUAGGAAGUUGUUUCUAUUUUGUUGGUUUUCGGAAAUCGACUUAAUGAUUAAUAGGGAUAGUCGGGGGCAUUUGUAUUCAAACGACAGAGGUGAAAUUCUUGGACCGUUUGAAGACAAACUACUGCGAAAGCAUUUGCCAAGAAUGUUUUCAUUAAUCAAGAACGAAAGUUAGAGGUUCGAAGGCGAUUAGAUACCGCCCUAGUUCUAACCAUAAACGAUGCCAGCUAGCGAUCUGAGGACGUUUUUUUUGUAGACUCCUCAGGAAGCUUCCGGGAAACCAAAGCGUGUGGGUUCCGGGGGAAGUAUGGUUGCAAAGCUGAAACUUAAAGGAAUUGACGGAAGGGCACCACCAGGAGUGGAGCCUGCGGCUUAAUUUGACUCAACACGGGAAAUCUCACCAGGCCCGGACACUGGAAGGAUUGACAGAUUGAGAGCUCUUUCUCGAUUCGGUGGGUGGUGGUGCAUGGCCGUUCUUAGUUGGUGGAGUGAUUUGUCUGGUUAAUUCCGAUAACGAACGAGACUCUGUCCUGCUAAAUAGUGUCAGCCUCUCUUCUGGGCUGACAAUUCUUCUUAGAGGGACUGGCGGCUCCUAGCCGCACGAGAUAGAGCAAUAACAGGUCUGUGAUGCC